AUGAGCUUCGCCCCACAGAAUAGCUCAUACCAAAACAAUUACUCAUAUGGGUGGUUUAAAAACCAGAAUAUGUCAUAUAGGAACAGCAAUCCUGAGGUCUCACCGUUUGCUUCUAGUAAUCAUAUGCAGGGAUUUAGGUAUGAAGAGGAGAGCAACAACUAUGCACCACAACAAUUUUAUUCACAUUCUACUCAUGUACCUCAGCACCUGGAGAUGUUUCCAGUGGAGUUAAAUGGUCCUCCACUUGGUCAACCAACAAAUCUAGAACCUGUUGAGUAUUCAGUGCAAGUGCCCACACAAGAUGAAUUUGAUGAUCUAGAGAAUCUCACACUACUCAGUCUCGAGUUCACUUGGAGUGUCGGAGAUGAUCCUAUUAGGAAGGUUACACUAGAGGAAAUGAAGAAGAUCAAGAGUGGAAAAUAUCUAGUGGAAGAAGUAAGGAAGAUUGAGAAGAACAUCAACGUUGGCAACACUAUUUCUUCACAGCUAGAGCUAAGUAUUUCUGGGAUAUCCCUUGAUACAUGUGAGGUCCCAACACCUUCACAUUCAGCUGAGCAAGAUAGCGAGAGCCCAGAGGAAGAAAGACCUCAGAUUGAAGAAGAAAUACUCGAAGACAAGGAACAAGAUGAUCCAGAGCUCGAACGACCAAGUGAUCAAGUUGAAGACUUAUCAUCUACUACUCUUGAAGUAGUAAAAGAAGUUGAUGUAGUUGAAGAUGAAGAAUUAGAGAUUCAAUUGCCCAUCGUCAUACAGCAACGUGAUGUAGCAGGUUUAUCCAAUCCUCUCAAUGACAUGCGUCCUUAUGAUUUCUUUGCUUCUACUUUGCAUUACAUGAUACCAUCAAUUAAGAUAGACUUGAAAAAUUGUUUGCUUGGACAUGAUCAUACAUACCAUGUUCGUGGCAUUGUUCUCAUUUAUGAUGAUGACACUUAUUCUCCUCAUGCUAGACCUAUGCUUAAUGAUAAAUAUCAUCCUCAUGUUAGUAUUGAGCAUGUUGAUUCCUAUCAUACUUGUCAUGUUCUAUAUUCCUAUGCUUAUAUAAUUGGAUAUUUGAUCGACAACUUAGAGGGCAUCUACCCUAUCACUUGUAGUUGUUGUUUGUGUGAGUCAUAUUUCAGGUCUUUGCUUGUGCACGAAUCAAUACAUGCUGACCAGGUUCGAGGUGACAUCCCUUGGGAUCCCGGUGGAGUCAGAGCAUGGCAAUGA
rnacentral:rRNA from 1 species